CUGGGGUUGGGGUGGGGGAGUGAAUGAGGCACAGGCGCCCCUCCAGCGACAAGACCCCUGCUCCGCCAUGCCCAAGAGCCCCCCCCCCCAUCUCAAGAAGAGCAGCAUCCCGCCAUGAGGACAUACAUGAUCCUGGCCGGGGGGGCGGGGAGACACAACUGGCUGUGUUCCUGAGCUCCAGGCGCUGUGCCACUUGUGCAUUGUGGCCCGUGUGUGUGUGUGUGUGUGUGUGUGUGUGUGUGUGUGUGUGUGUAAGUGGGGAGCCAGCCCUUCUUUGGGCCUCUGGCGCUGGUCCCCCUCCCACCCCUCUCCCUCUCCACAGGCCCCAUUGCAAGUCAAACGCCACAUGGCAGGAUGCCAGGGGUCCUACAAAUGGAGCUGCUGUUCAAGUUACAAGAGCGGGCCAACAUGCUGUGUGUUUCUUGGGUCAGCUGGUGGCCCUAGCUGUGAUGCCACCCAGGAGGCCACAUAAUCAUGGCACGGGAGCCUUGCCAAGGAAAGGAAAAAAGGUCAUGCACACACAGCAGCUAUUCAAGGUAGAAGAGCAGACAAGGCUGUGUGGGCAAUUGGCAACCCUAACUGAGAUGCAGCCUAGGAAGCCACACAGUCAAAACACAGGAGCCCUCCCAAGGACCCUG